CGAUGAAGGGCGUGCUAAUCUGCGAUAAGCGCCGGUAAGGUGAUAUGAACCGUUAUAACCGGCGAUACCCGAAUGGGGAAACCCAGUGUGAUUCGUCACACUAUCAUUAACUGAAUCCAUAGGUUAAUGAGGCGAACCGGGGGAACUGAAACAUCUAAGUACCCCGAGGAAAAGAAAUCAACCGAGAUUCCCCCAGUAGCGGCGAGCGAACGGGGAGGAGCCCAGAGCCUGAAUCAGCAUGUGUGUUAGUGGAAGCGUCUGGAAAGGCGCGCGAUACAGGGUGACAGCCCCGUACACAAAAGCGCAUGUGCUGUGAGCUCGAUGAGUAGGGCGGGACACGUGGUAUCCUGUCUGAAUAUGGGGGGACCAUCCUCCAAGGCUAAAUACUCCUGACUGACCGAUAGUGAACCAGUACCGUGAGGGAAAGGCGAAAAGAACCCCGGCGAGGGGAGUGAAAAAGAACCUGAAACCGU
rnacentral:rRNA from 1 species